UUAUUUUUAACGGAAAUAUUUCUCUACAGUAUUUGAAUAUUAAAAUGUUAAAGUGAGAAAACGAGAGUGCGAAGUGAUUCAAAUUUUUUUCGAUUUCUACAAAAUAAACGAGACAUUAUAGAAAUGACCCGGUGGAGGAAAUAGUUGGCCCGAUUCAAAUGUUUGCAUCCCUGUGGAAAAACUGAAAUGACGGCCUUGUAAUACAAGUGGU